GCCUCGCCGCCGGCAGAGAGAGAGCGGGAGCAGCCGGCCCUGCAACCGGCGCCCGCUUACAUCACAGCCUGCGGGCCGCCCCGCGCCACAUGACCGCGGUGACAUCACGCGUCGGACGAGCAGGUGGCCGCGCGGGCUGCGUGCAGACGCGUGCACGUGCGGGCCCGACGCUCUGAUUUCUAGCAGAGGGAAUGUUGGAACAGAAAGCCUGGAGUGUCAGCCCGACCAUGACCAUCGGAUGAAUGGAAAGUGACAGAGAGUCUCACUAUGUAGCCCAGGCUGACCCCAAACCUGCAGCAAUCCUCCUGCCUCAGCCUCCUGAGUUCUGGGAUUACAGGCAUGCACCACCAGGCCCGGCUCAAAGCUCCUUAUGAGAUGUUCUGUCUGAUGCUGAAUCUGAAGGUUGCUGACACAACCGUGCUCUGCCUUAAC
rnacentral:lncRNA from 1 species